rnacentral:rRNA from 1 species
UUGAUCCUGCCGGACCCGACUGCUAUCAGAGUGGGACUAAGCCAUGCGAGUCAACGCAGCAAUGCGUGGCAUACGGCUCAGUAACACGUAGUCAACAUGCCCAGGGGACGUGGAUAACCUCGGGAAACUGAGGAUAAACCGCGAUAGGCCAAGGUUUCUGGAAUGGACACUGGCUGAAACCUAUAUGGCCCCUGGAUUGGACUGCGGCCGAUCAGGCUGUUGGUGAGGUAAUGGCCCACCAAACCUGUAACCGGUACGGGCUUUGAGAGAAGGAGCCCGGAGAUGGGCACUGAGACAAGGGCCCAGGCCCUAUGGGGCGCAGCAGGCGCGAAAAUUCUGCAAUAGGCGAAAGCUUGACAGAGUUACUCUGAGUGAUGCCCGCUAAGGGCAUCUUUUGGCACCUCUAAAAAUGGUGCAGAAUAAGGGGUGGGCAAGUCUGGUGUCAGCCGCCGCGGUAAUACCAGCACCCCGAGUGGUCGGGACGAUUAUUGGGCCUAAAGCAUCCGUAGCUUGUUCUGCAAGUCUUCCGUUAAAUCCACCUGCUCAACAGAUGGGCUGCGGGAGAUACUACAGGGCUAGGAGGCGGGAGAGGCAAGCGGUACUCAGUGGGUAGGGGUAAAAUCCUCUGAUCCACUGAAGACCACCAGUGGCGAAGGCGGCUUGCCAGAACGCGCUCGACGGUGAGGGAUGAAAGCUGGGGGAGCAAACCGGAUUGGAUACC